GGGGUAGCCAUUGUUUUAUGCCUUUACUUUCUUUAUAAACUUGCUUUCACUUUACGGACUCGCCCUGAAUUCUUUCAUGCACAAGAUCCAAGAACCCUCUCUUGGGGUCUGGAUCAGGACCCCUUUCCUGUAACAUCAUUCUGGAGACCACCAAGGGACUAGAGUGAGGAAACCCCUGACCCAAAAGCUAACUUUAGGAGUCAAGAAAACUUUUCUUUUGAGUUAUUUAAGGCUUGUAACAAUUGAACAAACUCCUGUGAACAAAAUUUGGAGCAUAUUUGUUUCUCUCUACCUGAUUUCUCCAGAAUUUGGAAAGUAGUUAUAUUGCCUCUUGUCGGAACUCAAGAGUCACGGAUAGCCCUCACCAUACUGAUGCUUUCUGACUGAGCUCCUCCCUACCCUGAACACAAGAGAUGCUAAUAGGCAGAAAUACCAUCACCCCUUUCAGCCUGAAGAAGUUACAGAAGAUGGAUAUUUAUCCCUCUGCAACCCUUAGGAUUAAAGGUUCUCUUAUAGAAGGGAGGGGGGAAAUGUCAGAGGUGUUUAAACCAGAGCAACUCCAUCUUGAAUAGGAGCUGGGUUAAAUGAGGCUGAGACCUAUUGGGCUGCAUACCCAGAUGGUUCAGGCAUUCUAAAUCACAGGAUGAGAUAGGAGGUCAGCAGAAGAUACAGGUCAUAAAGAUCUUGUUGAUAAAACAAGUUGUAAUAAAGAAGCCUUUACCAAGAUAGCCACAAGAGUGAACUCUGGUCAUCCUCACUGCUACAUUUCCACCAGUGCCGUGACAGUUUACAAAUGCCAUGGCAAUGUCAGGAAUUACCCUAUAUGGUCUAAAAAGGGGAGGCAUGAAUGAUCCACCUCUUGUUUAGCAUAUUAUCAAGAAAUAACCAUAAAAAUGGGCAAGCAACAGCCCACAGGGCUGCUCUGUCUAUGGGGUAGCCAUUCUUCUAUUCCUUUACUUUCUUUUUUUUUUUUUUGAGAUGGAGUCUCACUCUGUCACCUAGGCUAGAGUGCAAUGGUGCAAUCUUAGCUCACUGCAACCUCCGCCUCCUGGGUUUAAGUGAUUCUCCUGCCUCAGCCUCCCGAGUAGCUGGGAUUAUAGGUGCCCACCACCAUGCCUGGCUAAUUUUUGUAUUUUUAGGACAGACAGGGCUUUGCCAUGUUGCUCAGGCUGGUCUCGAACUCCCGACCUCAGGGGAUCCGCCCUCCUUGGCCUCCCAAAGUGCUAGGAUUACAGGCAUGAGCCACCACACCCGGUCUUAUUCAUUUAAUUUCUUAAUAAAUUUGCUUUCACUUUACUCUAUGGGCUCACCCUGAAUUCUUUCAUGCUUGAAGUCCAAGAACCCUCUCUUGGGGUCUGGAUUGGGACCCUUUUCCUGUAACAGCUUGACUU
rnacentral:lncRNA from 10 species